UUUUAAUCUUCUGCUGAAGCAAAAGCUAAAGAAAAUUCUGGAAUUCAAAGUGAAUUCCAAAUUUGGAAAAUUAAAAUUCAGGGGUUGCUUCUAAGACUCUGUCAUUUCUUUCCACUGAUUCUUGAUUUUGCUAAAGUUAGUUUUGGACUGAAAUUGAGGCCUUCUUCUGGGAUUUACUGAUGUUAGUUGCUGUGUGUUGAGUUUUCAUCAAACUGUGGUGGAAUCUUGCUUUUAGCUGUUUCUCAUGUUCAGAGAUUUAUUUUCUGUUUCUUUAGUUUUGGCUCCUACAAAGCUAGAGAGCCUCUCUGAAAAUACUGUUAGUAGGCGAAGUGGUGGUGACUGCACACAUAGCUCUAAUUCAGAUUGCUUAACUGAUUUGGCUAAACCAAUAGUUAGCAAAAAAGAAGGAAACACCAGAAGUGUUUGUGUACUCCAGUGCAGUGACGUGUUGAUUUAAAUAAUGCCAAAAGCUCUUAUCUAGUCCAAUUGUCAUUGUUACUCUAUUUUCCGGAUCCAUGUGGUCAUUCUGAAUUGUAGUUAGAUUAAUUGAAACUUGUAAUUCUUACAAAUUGGCACUGUA